rfam:Oryza barthii chromosome 5, whole genome shotgun sequence.
AAUAAUUACAAUUUUACAUUGAUCAUGUUUAACAUUUGAUCGUUCGUCUUAUUUGAAUAUUUUUCAUGAUUACUAAAUGAUAAAAUAUGAACAAUAACUUAUAUGUGACUAAUUUUUUCAAAUAAGACAGACGGUCGAACAUUGGACACAAAUACCCACGGUUGUACUUAUU